UACGUAGGGCGCAAGCGUUGUCCGGAAUUAUUGGGCGUAAAGAGCUCGUAGGCGGCCUGUUACGUCUGCUGUGAAAUCCCGGGGCUUAACCCCGGGCGUGCAGUGGAUACGGGCAGGCUGGAGGCAGGCAGGGGAGAACGGAAUUCCCGGUGUAGCGGUGAAAUGCUUAGAUAUGACACAGAACACCGAUUGCGAAGGCAGCUUGCUAAACUGUGAUUGACGCUGAGGCACGAAAGCGUGGGGAUCAAACAGG
rnacentral:rRNA from 1 species